rnacentral:rRNA from 1 species
UUUAUAUGAGAGUUUGAUCCUGGCUCAGGAUGAACGCCGGCGGUGUGCCUAAUACAUGCAAGUCGAGCGCACUGGCCCAACUGAUAUGACGUGCUUGCACUGAAUUGACGUUGGAUUCCCAGUGAGCGGCGGACGGGUGAGUAACACGUGGGCAACCUGCCCUGAAGCGGGGGAUAACAUCUGGAAACAGGUGCUAAUACCGCAUAACAACGAAAACCACAUGGUUUUCGUUUCAAAGAUGGUUUCGGCUAUCACUUCAGGAUGGGCCCGCGGUGCAUUAGCUAGUUGGUAAGGUAACGGCUU